UGCAAGAUAGCUCAGUUGGUAGAGCACUAGACUCUUAAACUCAGGGUCGUAGGUUUGAGUCCCACAUUGGGCAA